rnacentral:tRNA from 1 species
UAUCACUUUGGCAGAUAAAUGUACUGGAUUUAGGAUCCACUAAUAUAGGAUUCCCUAUAGGUGAUAGC